AAUCUAUUAGUAUAAAGAGUAUAGGUAAUUUCCAAUUAUCUGGUAUAGUUGAGGUUAUAUAGAUUA